ensembl:lncRNA
UGUUAUGCUGUGAACACAGGCUAAUCCAGUGGGAUAUUAUAGUGCUAAUAAUCUAUCCAUGGCCUAAUUUGCAGUGAAGGAGGAUGUUAUUAAUCAAGUGAGAAGUGUUGUAGAAUUAAUAGAGACCUAACAAUUAGUAAUGAAAAUUCCAAUCUUUUACAGAAUUUAUUUUUUGUAGUUUAUUUGUCAUUACCCUUCAUCAGCUCAUCUGUGACUAUCAAGUUGCGCGCAACCUUUUCAUCAUAGCAGUAUAAAAUUGCCAGAUGUCGGACAGUAAUUCUUAGCCUCAUGCCUGCAGACUGCAGGUCUUAAUAGAAGUCACCAGGGCUGAGAAGAUUUAGUUGCUGAGAUCAGAUGAGGCUGGUACAUGGAAUUUAGCCAGACUGGAAACAUUUGCAAUACCCUAUGCUGUCAGUGACACUACUUCCGUGCUCUCUCAAACUAGAAGGCUGCUCAUUAUUAAGGCUUUCAGAAGGCAAUAAUCCUAAAUACCUCGCAUGGAAACGAUAAACUGCUUGUUGUGACUUUUCUUUGAACAAGUUCUCCUGCAGAGUAUCAUAUUUAAGUAAAUUGCCAUCAAGUACAGCAAGCAACACAAUCAUUCACAUUCAAACAGAACCUUUUGAUCACAUUCUACAAUGCAAUCAAGAAUCACAUGAGAAUUCAAGUACUCACCGACCUCAUUCAGUGCUCACCAGGUGAGAGAAAGGACAAUUAAUUGUGGAUAUCAACUAAUUGGCUGAUGCAUAAGAAUGUAGAAAUUUACAUUGGUUAUAUGUAAUACUGUUUAUAGUUAUGAGAGGUUCAUGUUCACAAUGUUCUGCAAAUGUAUGGUUACUCGCAGCUGAAAGAUUGUUAACAUUAUUUCAUCCCUCCCGUCUCCCCAUUUUUUAUCUACAAGGCACAUUAAGAUCACCAAUUGGGAAUUGUUAAUUGAUAGGUUAAUUGGAGAAACUUAUAGACUCUGUUGAAUCUCAGACAAUAAUUUAACUCAUGGAUUCAAGCAGGACAGUAGAUGUGGAGGUGGAACCUCUCAAGGAAUGCAUGCAAUGACAGAAAG